AUGAACGCUGGCGGCGUGCCUAAUACAUGCAAGUCGAGCGAACAGAUGAGGAGCUUGCUCCUCUGACGUUAGCGGCGGACGGGUGAGUAACACGUGGAUAACCUACCUAUAAGGCUGGGAUAACUUCGGGAAACCGGAGCUAAUACCGGAUAAUAUAUUGAACCGCAUGGUUCAAUAGUGAAAGACGGUUUUGCUGUCACUUAUAGAUGGAUCCGCGCCGCAUUAGCUAGUUGGUAAGGUAACGGCUUACCAAGGCAACGAUGCGUAGCCGACCUGAGAGGGUGAUCGGCCACACUGGAACUGAGACACGGUCCAGACUCCUACGGGAGGCAGCAGUAGGGAAUCUUCCGCAAUGGGCGAAAGCUUGACGGAGCAACGCCGCGUGAGUGAUGAAGGUCUUCGGAUCGUAAAACUCUGUUAUUAGGGAAGAACAAAUGUGUAAGUAACUAUGCACGUCUUGACGGUACCUAAUCAGAAAGCCACGGCUAACUACGUG
rnacentral:rRNA from 1 species